rnacentral:rRNA from 1 species
GACGAACGCUGGCGGCGUGCCUAAUACAUGCAAGUCGGACGCGGUUGCGAAAGUGAGAGUAACGCGUAGGUAACUACCUAUUAGAGGGGGGUAACUAAUGGAAACGAUAGCUAAUACCGCAUCCUAGUCGAUGGGCCUGCGUUGGAUUAGCUAGUAGGUAGGGUAAUGGCCUACCUAGGCAAUGAUACAUAGCCGACCUGAGAGGGUGAUCGGCCACACGGGGACUGAGACACGGCCCAGACUCCUACGGGAGGCAGCAGUAGGGAAUCUUCGGCAAUGGGGGGAACCCUGACCGAGCAACGCCGCGUGAGUGAAGAAGGUUUUCGGAUCGUAAAGCUCUGUUGUUAAGGAAGCGGUACUUAACCAGAAAGGGACGGCUAACUACGUGCCAGCCGCCGCGGUAAUAC